CUUCAAAAUAGCUGAUUUUUAUUUCUCUCGUGUUUGACAACCCCCUCUUCUCCAGUUCAGUGCUACGUAUUUUUCCUAGGCUUUUUCUUUCUUAUUUUUGAGGUUGUUCUUGCUCUUCACAUUCCCCUCUCCAUCCCACUAUCAGGCGUGAAAGCACCUUAUUUUUUUAACCCAUCUCCUAACCUGGGUGUGGCUGCUCUCUUUCCUUGUUUUAGCAAAGGUGAUGCUUCCCAGCAUUGAUGAGAUCUGACUGAUACCAGGUGGCUGUGGCCCAGCUCCACCAUUUCAGCAGCUGAAUUCCCUUUCUGGAAGAUUACACAGUUCACUUUGGUUGAAAGAAUCCUUUUGUCAAAAUGCAGAUUGAGAAAGUGAGAUUUAAAGCCUAAUGUUAUUGGCAAGCUGCAGGAGAAUCCCAGUAUUGCAUGAGUUACUUUUACCUCAGUGUCACUGGCUUUUGCUGUGUUUGGAAGUAUGAUACUUAGAGAUUUACAGAAGUCCAUUUUGAGUUAGAAAACAUCUUAAUAGUACAGUGCCUCAGCAAUAGAACCAAAAAAAGACUAGUGCUUCACUGCUAACAAGAAAGUGGAAAUGACUCACUGCUACUAAAGUCAGUCCCAUCGUGCAAGAUUAGACGUGAUAACUAAAUGGCAAAACUAUCAAUGGAAAUCUUCGAGGAUGGAAUGCAUUAAAUAAUGGGCAGCCCCAUAGAAACGGAAGUGCUAAGACUCCUCCAUAUCCUUCUCUGCAUAUGUCUUUCCUCUUACAAGCAGAUGGAAGUUGGAGCUGCCUCCUCUCUUCAUAUUAACCCUGUGAGUAUUCCCAUAGACCUAUAUCUAAGCUACAUGUGCAGAGGAGUGUAUACCACAAAGGCCUAAGGCAGAAGAAAGGGAGGCUGUAGUGCUGUCAUUUUGUAGAAGACAGGGAAAGCUUUUAGCUGGAGCACCUGCACCAGGUCUCAGCUUCAUUCCUCAGCACUUCAGUCAUGCCAAGGAAGUCAAUUAGACUGUUCAUGUGUUUAAAGUUAAGCCUAUCCUACGUGCUUUGCUGAACUGGAAGAUCAGGUCUUUGGUAUGACUAAGCGGGAUAAUAAGCUGUUGAUUGUUAGAAGUUCCUGGAACAAUCAGAACUCUAGUUUCUCUGCCAAAAUAUUAUUCACUGUAAUUAGGACAAUGAAAAUCACUAAAUUCCCAUUCACUCCACCUCUUGUCCAAAUCUUCUCUGGUGAGCAUGUACAGUCUUUCAUAAACAGAAGUUUCAAAUUUGGAAUUCCUGUUAGGGGGAGUAAAUGUGCACAUUUUCUAGUAAGAAAACUUUUUUCCAAAACACAGUCUGGACACUGGAGACCAGCAUGUAUAUAUUAUAUUUCCUUUCUUUGAUUGCUGGGGCUUUCCUACAGUAUCUGCACUAGAGGGAAUAAAGGGAGGCAUGCAAAUACCUUCUCCUUGAGAAGUUUGCAUAUAUAAAUGUUGGCAUCUGAGAAAUUUACUUCCAGAUUUGCAUAGAAAUGAGAAGAACUUUUGAGAACUUCUGAGUGGCUGACUGCCAAGGUUGUCACAUAGAUGUCUUCAUUCCCUUUGUAGAUUUAUGUCCAGUUCUCUCUAUCUUGUGCAAGGAGCAAGGUGAGCCUGGUCUGGGUGCCAUACUGAUGAGGCGCUCCGAGGAAGCUCCUGGAGAACUGUAUUGGUUUCAUGAAAGUUGAACUGCCUGGGUGGGAAAUGACCCCUGAACAAUUUAGGGUAAUGUACAUAUUUGACAGUGCACUACCACAGAGGCUUGAAAACUUGUAUCCAAAGGCUAUGUUAAACCUCAUGUGAACAGCUCAAAAAUCUUGAGCCUUGCAAGAGAGGCUCUUACUGUGGUUUUGGUAUCUGCUGCUUUUGACAUAUUUGGAAUUGUUGAAAACAGCCAGUCUUUGUAGUAUUUGCGUUUUUGUUUCUGGUCAUAGCCUGACCUGGAAGGAAGCAAGUAGAGAAACUGCAAAACAACAUAAAGAAGAUAUUAAACCUUCUUUCCCUAGCUCUUUAGAUCUAUUCUGUUCCUUUAUAGCUUUGGGCAGGUGAAGUUCCUGGUUACUUCUCUCUUUGUAUGAAGAAAUUUACCUAUAUGUUUACUAAAAAUAUGAAUGGCUGAAGGAAAAAAAAAGGCUGUAUUGUACAGUACGCUGUCACUGUUGGGAUGAUAGCUGUUUAAAACAGACUUCAGUGCAAUCAACCUGUCUUUGGCUUCAUAUACAGCCUAUUAAUAAACCAGCUUUGACUUGCACUGUAUCUCACCAUGUUUAGAAAAGGAACAGUCCAGUGUCUUGAAAUCUUCCAGGAAAAUUACUUCAUUUAGAAGCUUGUUUUACAAAUAUAGAAGUUAAUUCCAAAGAAUUGAAUCUUCACUUCAUAGGAAAAUAUUUAGUGUUUAUCUUCUGAAACCAGUGGACAUAAAACAGUCAAUGUUGGAAGCCUACAGGAUGUGACUUUAAGUGAAAAAGCAUGCUUUCAUCAUGGUUAAGAUAAACAAAGACCUAGCUUGAGGAAACAUGUCCUCUGGAUGGAGCUCAUUCUGGAGUUGCUUUCUGUGGAAGUUAUAAAUUGCUUUGUUGCUGUGUAAUAAAAAAAGUUUUU
ensembl:lncRNA